rnacentral:rRNA from 1 species
AGCCUGACGAAAAUUUACGUUAGGUGAGCUCUGCUCAAUGAUUAUUUAAAUAGCCGCAGUACUUUGACUGUGCAAAGGUAGCAUAAUAAAUUGGCUUUUAAUUGAAGUCUAGAAUGAAUGAGUCUAUGGGUGUUAGCUGUCUUAUUAGAAUUAUUUAUAAUUUUUUUAUUAAGUGAAAAUACUUAAUUUAAUAUAAUAGACGAGAAGACCCUAGAAACUUUUACUAAAAUUAUUAUUUUACGUUUUUGUUGGGGCAACAUAAUUACAGAAUUAAAAUAAUUUUAAAUAUAGACAUUAUAUGAAUGGAGUAUCAAGAAAAAUUAAGUUACUCUAGGGAUAACAGCAUAAUCUUUUAAAAGGUUUGUGACCUCGAUGUUGGAUUAAGAAUAACCUAGAUUAGAAACUUAAGGUUUUGGUUCUGUUCGAACAUAUAUUCUUACAUG